AGUGGAUGUAUUCCACGGUGAGU
rnacentral:miRNA from 1 species